UAUCCACUUGGCUACAUCCGCC
rnacentral:tRNA from 1 species